UACGGGGGGGGCAAGCGUUGUUCGGAAUUACUGGGCGUAAAGGGCUCGUAGGCGGCCAACUAAGUCAGACGUGAAAUCCCCAGGCUUAACCUGGGAACUGCGUCUGAUACUGGAUGGCUUGAAUUCGGGAGAGGGAUGCAGAAUUCCAGGUGUAGCGGUGAAAUGCGUAGAUAUCGGAAGGAACACCAGUGGCGAAAGCGGCUUCCUGGUCCAGCACCGACGUUCAGGCACGAAAGCGUGGGGAGCAAACAGG
rnacentral:rRNA from 1 species